rnacentral:rRNA from 1 species
AUACGGAGGGUGCAAGCGUUAAUCGGAAUUACUGGGCGUAAGGCGCGCGUAGGCGGCUAUAUAAGUCGGAUGUGAAAGCCCUGGGCUCAACCUGGGAACUGCAUUCGAUACUGUAUAGCUAGAGUUUGGUAGAGGGAAGUGGAAUUCCACAUGUAGCGGUGAAAUGCGUAGAUAUGUGGAGGAACACCAGUGGCGAAGGCGACUUCCUGGACCAGAACUGACGCUGAGGUGCGAAAGCGUGGGUAGCAAACAGGAUUAGAUACCCUAGUAGUCC